GUAAUGAGGUAUCUUGGGAAUGGAACCCAAGUCUAAACACACAAUUCAUUUAUGUUUUAUAUAUACCUUAUACAUAUAGCCUGAAGGUAAUUUUAUACAAUGUUUUAAAUAAUUUUGUGCAUGAAACAAAGUUUGUGUACGCUGAAACAUCAGAAAGCAAAAGUGUCACGAUCUCUGCCACCAAUGUGGACAAUCUGUGGUUGUUUGGCAUCACCAUCAUGCCUGAAUCUGAAUGUAUAUGCUACUAAUUAAACAAUCAUUUUCUUACAUUUAUUCACAGAUAAGUACUUAACAGUAAAAAAUAUGACUUACCAUUUUUUUUUUUUGAGACAGGGUCUUGCUACUAUGUCGCCCAGGUUGAAAGGCAGUGGUGCGAACAUGGCUCCAUGCAGCCUUGACCUCGUGGGCUCAAGCAAUCCUCCCGCCUCAGCCUCCCAAGUAGCUGAGAUUACAGGCACACAACACCAUGCCCUGCUAAUUUUUAAAUUUAUUUCUUAUUUUUAUAGAGACAGAGUCUCAGCAUGUUGCCCAGGCCUGUCUCGAACUCCUGGCUCAAGCAAUCCUCCUGCUUUGGCCUCCCAAAGUUCUGGGAUUAGAGGCAUGAGCCGCCACACCCAGCCAACAACAGAUUUUGUCUUGGAAGUGUCUUUUUGAUUUUCUAAAUGAACAUGAUUUCUUGUUCCGUUGUGAAUGUAUGCUGCUUUAGUCCUUCAAUAAGCCCAUCAUACAUUUUCACCAUGCCAUCUAUAGACAUUUUUUCUGCAAAAAAUGUUAACAAUGUGAUCUUCAUUGCCACUAUUAUCAUGAUCACUUUGGUUUGGAGCCAUGUGGCUAUUUCAUGAUCAGCCAAUGAGUCACUUGACACCAAUUCUUUCUCACUUGAUACACAAUUCUCCAAAGUCACCACCUUGUUCAUCAUCAUCACUGAACAUAGUCAAAAGUCAGAGGUCGCACCAGGCAUGCACAACUAUGUCUUUAGUCACUGUGUUCUAAGCGCUGCAAACAGUAUAUCUGGCGUCCUUCAUGUCACCUCCUUUUGAAAACCUUCUGCACUCAUGCCUCUGUUCACUGCUGCUAGCAUUCUGUUCAAUAAAGUGAUUUUACAUCUACUCUUCAUUGACCUAAGGAUACCCUAGUCACAUUGAAUUAAUGUAGUCACAUCUGGGGGAAAGUACAUGGCAUAAACAUUAUUUUUUGUGAGAAUUUCAGCUGGAGAAUGAGCAGAACAGUAAUCAAGGAAUAACAAAGUCUUACAUCAUCAUGCAUUCCAGCUUCCCUGCAGUGAGUACUAGCCACUGGUACAAAAUGUUUGUGAAACCAAUCAUAAAAGGUGUCCCUGAUGAUCUGUGCCUUUUUGUUAGCAUAAUAGUAGACUGGUAAGAGAUCUCCUCCUUGAUAACAGUGAGGAUGCAAGCUUUUGCCAAUCACAGCAAGUUUAUACUUAUAGAUGCUUGCUACAUUAACACAUCCCAGCAGGGUUACUCUAUCCUUGGCAUCUUUUUUUUUUUUUUUUUUUUUUAAGACGGAGUCUCGCUCUGUUGCCCAGGCUGGAGUGCAAUGGCACAAUUCUGGUUCACUGCCAACCUCUGCCACCCAGCUUCCAGCGAUUCUCGUGCCUCAGCCUCCCCAGUAGCAUGCGCCACCACGUCCUACUUUUUUUUUUUUUUUGAAUUUUUAGUAGAGAUGCAGUUUCACCAUGUUGGCCAGGCUGUUCUCAAACUCCUGACCUCAGGUGAUCUGCCUGCCUUGGCCUCCCAAAGCUCUGGGAUUACAGGCAUGAGCCACUGUGCCCGGCCUAUCAUUGGCAUCCUUAAUUCCUGUCUCAUCAACUGUAGUCAGUGUCUUUCUGGAGAAAUAAUGCCAAAACAGUGAUAUUUCAUCAGCAUAAAGACUAGUUCUGUUGUCAGAUUUUUGUUAGUGAUGACUCGGGCAAACUUGUCAAUGAAUUUCUCUGCUACUUCAUGAUCAGCAGAUGCCUUAUCACCACAAAUCUUUAAAAAUUUAAUGCUGUCUUUUCCUAAAUUUCUGAAACCAGCCUGUUGAACAUUCACAGUUCCCUUCAAUUUUCAGUUCACUGUGAUAGAUCUUUGCUUGUUUCAUGAUCAGUAGCCAGUAUUUACUGCAACACUUUUGAACCCAUUCUUUCAAUACAUGAUCGAGAUCUUCAUUAUUAACGUUAUGCACUGUUUUUCUUUUUGUUAUUGUUGGGUUUUUUUUGUUUUGAGACAGUGUCUAUGUCAUCCAGGCUGGAAUGCAGUAGCUUAAUCUCAGCUCACUGCAACCUCCACCUCUCCAGCCCAGGCGAUCCUACCACUUCAGCCUCCUGAGUAGCUGGGACUACAGACACGCGUUACCACACCCAGCUAAUUUUUUGGUUUUUUGUUUCUUUGUUUUUCAGA
rnacentral:lncRNA from 1 species